UACGUAGGGGGCCAGCGUUGUCCGGAUUUAUUGGGCGUAAAGAGCGUGUAGGCGGUUUGGUAGGUCCGCUGUGAAAACUCGAGGCUCAACCUCGAGACGCCGGUGGAAACCAUCAGACUAGAGUCCGGAAGAGGAGAGUGGAAUUCCUGGUGUAGCGGUGAAAUGCGCAGAUAUCAGGAAGAACACCAGUGGCUAAGGCGGCUCUCUAGUACGGUACUGACGCUGAGACGCGAAAGCGUGGGGAGCGAACAGG
rnacentral:rRNA from 1 species